GUCUGUUCUUUUCAUGUGACUGUCUGCUUUCCAUAUUUGGCAGUUCAAACUCCUCAAAUAUAGCAUCAAUUUGACUCAACCAAAAAGUAUUGUGCAAGUUGAGGCAUAUAUUUUUACAAUGGGCCAUGUCUGGUGCCAAUGGCCAGUCUAUGUCUAGGGCGGGUGCGUGAAGGGAGUGAAUGAAACCAUGGCUGAUGGGGAGUCUUACAUAAUAUAACUUCCUCUGGGAGGCAUGACUAGUUGUCGACAAAGGAGUCAUGCUUUUAGAGCAAAGCUGCUGUCAGGCUGGGAAGUCCUUUCUUAGAAAGAAGCCACAACUCCCAGACCCUCUUGAGGCUAUGCCUCUUGGGCCAUGUGACUAAAAUUCCCCAACAGAAUAUAAGCAGAAAUUAUGUGCAUCACUUCCAAACAAAAGGGUUAAAACUCUGGUACCUUUUCUACUAUUUAAUUUCCUCUUCAGUACUUAGAUGGUGAUGACUCUGAGGCCCCACAGAAUAGCAGAGAGCCACAAGAUGGAAAGCGCCUGGAUCACUGACAAGGCAUCCUGUGAGUAAGAAAUAAACAUUGAAGGAUUAACACUCUGCUUUCUUUUUCUUUCUUUCUUUCUUUUUUUUUUUUUAAUGUCAGUCAACCAAGACUGUCCGUUCUGCAGGAUUGGAAAAGGACAUUUGUCCCUUAAAGGGGGCUGAUGGCAUAGUAGUCAUUGAGAUAAGGAUGCAGAAUGGAGCAAAACAUAAAAGGCUAAACAACUGAGCAAAGGCUUCUGCUGGAGAAGCCCAGAUGUUCACAAUAUGAUGGCCUGGGGUGGCUUCACUGAUACACACUCAGCAGAGCAGGGUGCAUUCAAUAAGGAGUCAACUGUAACUGCCAGGGAGCAUGGCCUUUAUGAAGAGUGAACUCCACAGCCAAACAGUUGUCCACACGUUAACUCUCACUUGUUGAGGAAAGCGUCCAUUAACACAGAAAAGUAAGGACUUUCUUUGUGGGCCUGUGGCUCCCCUGGAUAUGGUUUCUGAAAUAUCUUUCUUAAGAACUAAGCACCUCUCUCUUUCUCUUGGGGUUUCUGCUCACCUAACUCCACCAGUUUUAACAAAAUUUGAAAAUCCAUUGUCUCUUUGGGGAAGGCACACUCCCUCUUAGCUUCCAUCAGUACGUGGCAUUGAUACAAACUAUCCCCACUUCAGCUCACUGAUGAUAAGGGGGAGAGGGAGGUGUUCCCUCAUCACUAACCAUACCUGGACCCCAACCUGAAGACUGGGAUUGUUGGGGUGUGGGGGUGAUGGUAUCCCAAGCCAGAUGACUUUUAAAGGAAUUCUACCUUUGACUGCUGGGUAUUCCAAGGCCAAAUAGAAGCUUGCAGAAGAAAGCCCAGUACCUUGCAGUUCUUUCUCUCUGUCUGUCGUUCUGCCCCCCUCCCCUGUCUUUUCCCUGACACGAAUCCAGUUAUCCAGUUGCUGUCCACCCCCAGUUGGCACACCAGCCCCAGCAGCUGAAUUUACUCUGUGCUCCAGCAUUUUCUCUGGGAGCCGUACUACAGUUGCUUCUGCUUCUCUGGUUAAAGCAGCUUCCUCUCUCCCUUGCUGGAUCUACAUGGCUCACCUCUCAUUAAGAGAGUCCAGCCUCAGUCUGUGCAUUGCCUCCAUCCCACUCACCCAGUUCUUCUCCUUUCCUCUGACAGAUUCUCCUUUAUCUGACAGGACUCCUUUUGGAUCCCAAGAGCCUGCUAGUGUGGCGGCUUCCAGCCAUGAGAACAAAAGCAGACUCCCUUUUGGAUCUCCAUGGCAUAGGCAGAAACAAGAACCGUGCCCCAGCAGUAGAGGAAUGGGGGUCAUUCAGCCUCCAAACAAAGGCUUUAUUCUGAAUCUUCCUUUCCCAACUGAUAACCAGUCUGUCACCGCAAGAGGGAAGGGUGGGGGUGGCAAGGCAUUGAAGAGAGGAGGGGAGAGCAGCAAUCUUAUUAACCUUUCCAAGAGGCUUGUGAUUCAAGCUUGUGGAGCUUAACAUUUUUUUUUUCUCUCCCAAUUAUUUUAAUGAUGCUGCAGAAAAGUCCUAACUUCUGUGCUGAGACUGUGUUGCUGCCACAGUCUGGGCUGAUCACAUGGUAACAUUCCGACCCAGGCUGGGUCACCCCAUAAGAAAAAUCAGCUUGGGAAAACCACUCCUCCUACUGCAUGCAUCUCACUCUCUCUUAAAGGGGGGCGGCGGCGGGGAAGCUUCCUUUUUAAGAGCUUUGAAGCUUAAGUCUCAGAUGUGAGCUUUUGCUUCAGAGUUUAUUAGUUAUUUUUUAUCCCCAUCCACCACCACCACCAGCCCCCCUCAAAAAAGUUUAUGUUCACUCAGCAUGGCAAUUAUUUGACUCUAAUUCAAACCAUUUUGUGUCAUUUAGAUCCAGGCACUUUGCUUGAUCUCAGUAAUAAGGGAAUGUACCAAAUAUUUUUGUUGCUAGAGGAACUAUAGUCAUAUAAGCCAGUUCAUCAAUCAUGUGUUUUUUCCUUUCCCAGUCCUAAUGUAUUCCUCAUUUCAUUUUGAGUAAGAAAAUUAAGCCUAUAACAUAAACUUAAAAGCCAACUACUGUAGUCUGUACUUUGAACCCAGAUACAAAAGCAAACAUUCCUUCCUAUUAGGUUUAGAUCAAGAUGUAUUGAUUUAGGAGGUUAACUAAUACUUAACAGGAGGCUGAUUGGGGACUGGAAGUGUGGGAGGCAAAAGGCGGGAGGAAGUAGAAGUGGCUUUUCUUUUUGUCUAUGCACAUACACACUUAUCUGCAGGCGUUGCUAGAUUUUCAGUAAUCCAACACGAACAUCAUCAUGAUGGCAGGGAUUGUAAAGAUGGAGAAGAACAUCUUUCUGCAAGGCCAGCCUCCCUUCCUCUCCAACAAGAGCAGACUAAACACUGCUGGGGACUGGACUUCUAGUCUGGAUUGUCACCUACACAUACGCUAACUUUUUAAGCUGUCAUUGACAUGUUAUCUACAUAGGAAAAAUUAUACUUAUCAUAAGUGUACACUCUGGUGAAUUUUUACAGACUGAGCACAACUGGGAAACAAGGGUCCAGACUACAAAAGGAAGCAUCCAUAGCACCUUCAUCCCCACCCAGUCACUAUCUCACCAAGGGUAGCUACUAUCCUAAAUUCUAAUACAAUCAUUUUGAAUUUUUUUUUCAAAAUUUUUUGAAGUUUUUUUUUAAUGCCUAUAACAUAGAAUUUAUUAUUUUAUGUGUGGCUUAUUUCACUCAAUAUGACAUUUGAGAACUCCAUUCUUAUUAUUGGGAGUAGCUGCAGAUUACCUGCUCUCUUUGCUAUUCACAUUCAUUGUGUGAGUGCACCAACAAUUCUAUACCCAUUGUGCUGCUGAUGGGUAUUAGCGCUAUUUCCGCUUUGCUAUUUCAAAUAGUGCUGUUAUGAAUAUUUGAGUACAUAUUUUUUGGUGAACAUGUCCACCUCUUUGCUGGGCUUAUUCCUAGGAAGGGAAUUGUAGUAUGUGGAGUAUGUAUGUGAUUAGUUUUAGUAGAGACUGCCAGUUUCCAUGUUAGCUGUAACCAAUUGCUAUUCUGCCAGCAAGGUAUGGGAGUUCCAGUUGCUCCAUAUCCUCAUCGGUACUUGAUAUUUUCAUUAUUUUAGUUCUUCUGGAGGGCAUGGAGUGAUAUUCUUUUGUGAGUUUACUUUGCAAGUUUCACACCCACUAAUUUUAAUUUCCAUGCUUCAGUUAAUUUCCAAUCAGCCUUUAAGAUUAAUCUAGCAAGAGCCAACCUGACUAUCAAGUCUUCCCUCUGCAAGGACUAUCGUUGCUAUAAUGAUAUCCCCACAUCACCUCCUCCACCCACCAACAUGGGCUUCUCCUUUUGUUGAACUCUUAUUGAACGUAUGCAUAGAGCCACCCCAUUUAUACUCGAUUAGCCACUGGCUAGUGUUAUGCUCUAAAUGCUUUUCCUGUGUAAUUCUGCUUUUCUGACUGGAGGCAGAGUCCCUUGAGGGCAGAGUCCAGCUCAGCAGGCCAUGUGGACCCACACAAAUCCACUGGGCUGAGUUCAGAUGAAUGUGGGCUAUGCCCCGAUCAGACUGAACUUUGCACUUUCUGCCCAAUCAUUAUGAUACCCAAGAGCUUUAGCCUAGAUGACUGAUAUUGAUUAAAACAAUUCAAGAUUCAAGAAGGUAAACAGGGCAGGAAGUUGAGUAAUAUGGUUUGCAAAAGGAUUCUUGGAGUUAGAGCUGGAUUUGAAUCUCACACUGACCAAUUUGGUUCUUUGUAAACUUACAAAGUCAUUUUAUGCUUCUCAACCUCAGUUUCCACAUAUAUGGAAAGAGAAGAAUUAGAGAUUAUUCAACAAGAAGAGCGUAUCUGGCACGUUGUAGGUGCUGGAAAGUCCAUCCUUUCUCCAUGCUUUCCUUCAUUGGAGAGGUCUCAAUCUCUCAGCCUUUUAAGAGGGCAAGCAGCCCUCUAGACAUUUAGCUUGGUCUGGGAUUGGCCAAGCCUUCUUUGUCAGCAUCUCUAACAAAUAUGAAUUUCGAAAUACAUUUAAUAAAAUUUUACCACAAAAAAUACUCUUUCGAACUGAAAUUAAGGAGAAUGUCUUUUCUGAAGACUAACUAGGUCCCUUAACAGCAAAAUCUUUAAGGCAAGGCUAGUUAACAGUUUUCUCAGUAAUCUUCAUCUUUCUAUCUGCUCAGCCCACUAGAUAGAGGCUCCUUAAGUGCAGAUGAUACAAUUGCCAUCCAUCUCUGCUCUCAAGUACGCUCUUAGAAAAGUGAAUGAAGAUAGGGCUAUUUUGCUAUUAGUGCUUUUUUGCUCUUUCCUGGAGGUUUUUGGCAGCCUUUCUCAAUGGGCAGGCAAGCUUUGGAGCCACGUACAGACUUUGCCCCUUAAAAACCACAUUAUAAUACAGCAUUAAUACCACUGGUCAAACCAUGAAGUAUGAAUCUUAGAUGCUAAUCUUAUAAACAGAUUUGCUUAUAAAAAGUCUCCAUAUAAAGUAAUUUUUAUUUUUUAUUUUUUUGCCUCCAACAGGAGAAAUGAAUGGGAGUGUUCGAAGGAAGAUGGAAAAUGCAUUUGAUAAUUUUUCCAAGGCUCUGUCAUUCAGUCAUGUACCCAGAGGAAGAGUUAUUACUCUCUCCAUUUUACAAAGAUGAGGAAGCAAAAGCUCAGCAUGGUGUAAUACCUUAUUCAAGGUCACAAGUUGAAAUCAGAAUCUUGAGUAUCUGGCUCCCAAGCCUGAACUCUUUCUUCUCUCCUCUCCUGCCUAGAGUCCAUAUAGCCUUGACACAAAUCUUUCAAUGUUGGAGAUAUACAUGACCUAAGAGGUCAACUCAUGUCCUAUCAAGCACAGGAAUUCCCUCCACCAGGUCCACAACUGCAGGUGACUACAAUAAUGAUAACCCCA
ensembl:lncRNA